rnacentral:rRNA from 1 species
UAUGGGGGGACCAUCCUCCAAGGCUAAAUACUCCUGACUGACCGAUAGUGAACCAGUACCGUGAGGGAAAGGCGAAAAGAACCCCUGUGAGGGGAGUGAAAUAGAACCUGAAACCGUGUACGUACAAGCAGUAGGAGCACCUUCGUGGUGUGACUGCGUACCUUUUGUAUAAUGGGUCAGCGACUUAUAUUCAGUGGCAAGGUUAACCAUCUAGGGGAGCCGUAGGGAAACCGAGUCUUAACUGGGCGCCAUAGUCUCUGGAUAUAGACCCGAAACCGAGUGAUCUAGCCAUGGGCAGGUUGAAGGUUGAGUAACAUCAACUGGAGGACCGAACCGACUAAUGUUGAAAAAUUAGCGGAUGACUUGUGGCUAGGGGUGAAAGGCCAAUCAAACUCGGAGAUAGCUGGUUCUCCCCGAAAGCUAUUUAGGUAGCGCCUCGGACGAAUACUACUGGGGGUAGAGCACUGUUAAGGCUAGGGGGUCAUCCCGACUUACCAACCCUUUGCAAACUCCGAAUACCAGUAAGUACUAUCCGGGAGACACACGGCGGGUGCUAACGUCCGUCGUGGAGAGGGAAACAACCCAGACCGCCAGCUAAGGUCCCAAAUUACAGCUAAGUGGGAAACGAUGUGGGAAGGCUUAGACAGCUAGGAUGUUGGCUUAGAAGCAGCCAUCAUUUAAAGAAAGCGUAAUAGCUCACUAGUCGAGUCGGCCUGCGC